CCUACGGGAGGCAGCAGUGAGGAAUAUUGGUCAAUGGGCGGGAGCCUGAACCAGCCAAGCCGCGUGAGGGAAGAAGGUACAGCGUAUCGUAAACCUCUUUUGUCAGGGAACAAAGGCGGGGACUAGUCCCCGGAUGAGGGUACCUGAAGAAAAAGCAUCGGCUAACUCCGUGCCAGCAGCCGCGGUAAUACGGAGGAUGCGAGCGUGAUCCGUAUUUAUUGGGUUAAAGGGGUUCGCAGGCGGCCUGUUAAGUCAGCGGUAAAAGGAUGGGGCGAAACCCCGGCGAGCCGUUGAAACUGGCAGGCUUGAGUAGAAGAGAAGUACGCGGAAUGCGCGGUGUAGCGGUGAAAUGCUUAGAUAUCGCGCAGAACCCCGAUUGCGAAGGCAGCGUACCGGCUCCACACUGACGCUGAGGCACGAAAGCGUGGGUAUCGAACAGGAUUAGAUACCCUAGUAGUC
rnacentral:rRNA from 1 species